UGGGGAAUCUUGCACAAUGGGGGCAACCCUGAUGCAGCGACGCCGCGUGAGCGAUGAAGCCCUUCGGGGCGUAAAGCUCUUUCGACCGGAACGAUAAUGACGGUACCGGGAGAAGAAGCUGCGGCUAACUACGUGCCAGCAGCCGCGGUAAUACGUAGGCAGCAAGCGUUGUUCGGAGUUACUGGGCGUAAAGAGUGCGUAGGCGGUUUUCUAAGUUCGGUGUGAAAUCUCCCGGCUUAACUGGGAGGGUGCGCCGAAGACUGGGAAGCUAGAGUGUGGGAAAGGCAGGCGGAAUUCCUGGUGUAGCGGUGAAAUGCGUAGAUAUCAGGAGGAACACCGGCGGUGUAGACGGCUUGCUAGACCAUAACUGACGCUGAGGCACGAAAGCGUGGG
rnacentral:rRNA from 1 species